AACGCUAGCUACAGGCUUAACACAUGCAAGUCGAGGGGCAGCAUUAGGUAGCAAUACUGAGAUGGCGACCGGCGCACGGGUGCGUAACGCGUAUCCAACUUUCCCGUUACUCUGGGAUAGCCUUCCGAAAGGGAGAUUAAUACCGGAUGGUGUUGAAAUUUCGCAUGUUAUUUCAACUAAAGAUUUAUCGGUAACGGAUAGGGAUGCGUGACAUUAGGUAGAUGGCGGGGUAACGGCCCACCAUGCCUACGAUGUCUAGGGGUUCUGAGAGGAAGGUCCCCCACACUGGAACUGAGACACGGUCCAGACUCCUACGGGAGGCAGCAGUGAGGAAUAUUGGUCAAUGGACGGAAGUCUGAACCAGCCAAGUAGCGUGAAGGAUGACUGCCCUAUGGGUUGUAAACUUCUUUUGCCGUAGAACAAAACAUGCCACGUGUGGCAUUUUGCGUGUAUACGUUGAAUAAGCAUCGGCUAACUCCGUGCCAGCAGCCGCGGUAAUACGGAGGAUGCGAGCGUUAUCCGGAUUUAUUGGGUUUAAAGGGAGCGUAGACGGGAUGUUAAGUCAGCUGUGAAAGUUUGGGGCUCAACCUUAAAAUUGCAGUUGAUACUGGCGUCCUUGAGUGCGGUUGAGGUAUGUGGAAUUCGUGGUGUAGCGGUGAAAUGCUUAGAUAUCACGAAGAACUCCGAUUG
rnacentral:rRNA from 1 species